rnacentral:sRNA from 1 species
AGCUACUUCAAGUGUACAUAAUUGUACACAA